UGCGCAGGUGGGCUUGUAAGUCAGUGGUGAAAUCUUGCCGCUUAACGGUAAAAUUGCCAUUGAUACUGCAAGUCUUGAGUAUGGUUGAGGUAGGUGGAAUGUGUUGUGUAGCGGUGAAAUGCAUAGAUAUGACACAGAACGCCGAUUGCGAAGGCAACUUACUAAGCCAUUACUGACGCUGAGGCACGAAAGCGUGGGGAGCGAACAGGAUUAGAUACCCUGGUAGUC
rnacentral:rRNA from 1 species